AUGCACCCCAGGAUGGGCGAGGCCCCCCGUUAAGCA
rnacentral:rRNA from 1 species